AAUAAAAUUUAUUGUGGAAAGGAUUUCAUAGUUUCUUUUUAAAAUAAAACGUGAACAUAAAUGAUAAUAAAAGUUAAUUUAACCAAAAAAUCUUAUUUUACGACAUAAAUAUCGGUUCGGUUUUCGGCAAAGCGGAGGAAACGUGGAUUUGAUUUUGAACGCUGAAAAGACAUAAAGGUUGCUAAAGCUCAGAAAAAGGAUGGUCUAGUCACAUAAUGCGAACGUGAACGCUCUCUUGGGCAGACCAAUCACAUAUUUUGAUAUUACAGCUGAAUAAUUCUCAUCACAGAUGGAGGAAGAUGACUCGACGCCAGCAAAAGCGAUCUGUCAAGAUGUUGACCAUGAAAAAGUUGUCAAAAUGUCUGAUUGUGGUUGGAGACAGUGGAGGAGUUUGGUGGAAUUAGGGAUGUAAGCAGAUAUGCAUUUAAAAGAGCUCGAUGGUUGUGGCCAUUUUCAGACUGUAUUGAUCUCCUAAGGAAGAAGAGCUAUAUAAAAAUAUGCUGGUUGGCAGAAGAGAGAGAGAGUGGGAAGUCAUAACAGUUUGUCAGGUCAUUCAUCUAUGAUCAGGAUAUUUUCUGGAAAAAUAGAAAACUUUUCAACAUGAUUGAAACCUGUCGCACAUGUACUUUGUCUCUUAAUUCCAAAUCAACACCUCCUCCACGAUUGCAGGAUCAACUGGAACGGAACUACGAAGGCCAUGGAGAGUGACAUGAUAGAAGAGAUGGUCAAGGAUGUGAAUGAUGGAUCUGUUCGUAUAAAGACAAUAGUUGGUGAUGAAGAUAGCACAAUCAUUUCCAAACUUUGGACAAACA